GAGGGGGGCGGCGCGGUGGCUGGAGCAUCGCUAUGUGGAUCCCGUGCCUCAUCCGUAGCGGAAACCAGGCCAUCGUCUUCGCCGACAUCAUCUUCGCCUCUUGGCGUCGCGCCAACAACCACGUCGACUGUGUAGUUGUCCAAAGACUAGAUGAAUGUACACCGAGGAUGGAAAUACUGAUGCAUCAUAAUCUAUACACUGAUGAUCAAUUGCUGAUGUAGAAUGGAGUGAGAAAGUCAAGUUUUAUCAUAUUGAUGGUUGACUUCAAUGAGACAUUGUUGAAGCUUCUUUCUAUGCGAGCUUGCCUCCUAGUCAGGCUUUUUUGAGCUGUAUCUUCUCUAUGGAAUGUGGGCUUUUCUAGACCACAUCAAUGAGUUGUCUUGCUGAAUAUUUUUAGGCUCUCCAAAGCUGGAGUAGAGCCAUGAUUAGGAGGGCCACAAGAGGUAUAGAUUUGACUGUAAGGGUAAGAGGGUAUGAGACAAUGUUUUACAACAUAACCAUGAAGUUUACAUCUGUCUUACUGGUAAAAGUUGGUUUCUCUUACAAAAAGAUGCAGCAGAAACAGAUAUUACUUGAUGUUUAUUGUUGCCUAAGCAGCCAAAGAUGAGUAUUAUGCUGAUUUGUAGAUGGAGACUAUGAUGUUAGUCUGGUCAAAUAUGGAUUUGAUUUCUCUUCCAAUAGCAUAUAUAAUGUUUAUUUUUGCAGUAUAACAUAUACAAGUGAUGCUUCAAGUUUUCCAAGAGUCAGGAUGGAUCCACUCUUUGAGAAGAUAAAGUGGAAGCAAAAAGGUGCUUUGCCACAAAACCAAAAUGAACUUACCUUCUCUUGCUUCUCUGACCAAUUCAUAGCAAAGCAGAAAAGCUGCAUUUAUAGGGUUAUCAUCAGAGACCAUGUUUUGACAGUUGCUGACAUUUGAUUGGCUGGCUCCUUGGUGAUCCAAGCCAGGAUUUUUCCAUCCCCUCUUCUGUGCUGUACUGAUGAGGAAUUAAAUUGUAAUUAGGACAAGCAUGAAUGGAAUGGAACCAUCUGCAGCUCCAUUAGCGCAGGGGGGGAGAAGACUCAGAGGACCAAAACGGAUCAAGAAAUGGACAUGGAUGCGACUGUGGCUCAUCAUUCUCAUCGAUUCGAGGAACAGCUUUGGUGUUGGUCCCCGGGAUCAGAAGUUGUUGCUGCAUGUAACCCCAGGAAGAGACAAAAAGUGGCAUUCAAAGCCCUCUCUGGGUAUGUCAUGGACGAAUGGUCACCUUGGACUCUACGUUUGGUCCAAGAGAAUACUAUAUCGGCGUUCGACUUUGAAUUCCUUCCGACUAUUGGCACCAUCAACUUUUCGGAGCACAUCCAACCUCUACUCCAUCCACUGCUCAAACCCUUUCAAAAGUAGCUGCGAUCAAGUAUGUUUUCUGGUGAUCAGUCCUUCCUUUUGUCUUCACUAAAUCUCCCUCUCCGUCAUGCUAUUGAACUGUUGGCUAAGAUUCAUGACGUAAAAUAUAUAUGUAUGUAUAUUGGUGAUGAACUCUUC